GUGGUAUCCUGUCUGAAUAUGGGGGGACCAUCCUCCAAGGCUAAAUACUCCUGACUGACCGAUAGUGAACCAGUACCGUGAGGGAAAGGCGAAAAGAACCCCGGCGAGGGGAGUGAAAAAGAACCUGAAACCGUGUACGUACAAGCAGUGGGAGCACGCUUAGGCGUGUGACUGCGUACCUUUUGUAUAAUGGGUCAGCGACUUAUAUUCUGUAGCAAGGUUAACCGAAUAGGGGAGCCGAAGGGAAACCGAGUCUUAACUGGGCGUUAAGUUGCAGGGUAUAGACCCGAAACCCGGUGAUCUAGCCAUGGGCAGGUUGAAGGUUGGGUAACACUAACUGGAGGACCGAACCGACUAAUGUUGAAAAAUUAGCGGAUGACUUGUGGCUGGGGGUGAAAGGCCAAUCAAACCGGGAGAUAGCUGGUUCUCCCCGAAAGCUAUUUAGGUAGCGCCUCGUGAAUUCAUCUCCGGGGGUAGAGCACUGUUUCGGCAAGGGGGUCAUCCCGACUUACCAACCCGAUGCAAACUGCGAAUACCGGAGAAUGUUAUCACGGGAGACACACGGCGGGUGCUAACGUCCGUCGUGAAGAGGGAAACAACCCAGACCGCCAGCUAAGGUCCCAAAGUCAUGGUUAAGUGGGAAACGAUGUGGGAAGGCCCAGACAGCCAGGAUGUUGGCUUAGAAGCAGCCAUCAUUUAAAGAAAGCGUAAUAGCUCACUGGUCGAGUCGGCCUGCGCGGAAGAUGUAACGGGGCUAAACCAUGCACCGAAGCUGCGGCAGCGACGCUGAUGCGUUGUUGGGUAGGGGAGCGUUCUGUAAGCCUGCGAAGGUGUGCUGUGAGGCAUGCUGGAGGUAUCAGAAGUGCGAAUGCUGACAUAAGUAACGAUAAAGCGGGUGAAAAGCCCGCUCGCCGGAAGACCAAGGGUUCCUGUCCAACGUUAAUCGGGGCAGGGUGAGUCGACCCCUAAGGCGAGGCCGAAAGGCGUAGUCGAUGGGAAACAGGUUAAUAUUCCUGUACUUGGUGUUACUGCGAAGGGGGGACGGAGAAGGCUAUGUUGGCCGGGCGACGGUUGUCCCGGUUUAAGCGUGUAGGCUGGUUUUCCAGGCAAAUCCGGAAAAUCAAGGCUGAGGCGUGAUGACGAGGCACUACGGUGCUGAAGCAACAAAUGCCCUGCUUCCAGGAAAAGCCUCUAAGCAUCAGGUAACAUCAAAUCGUACCCCAAACCGACACAGGUGGUCAGGUAGAGAAUACCAAGGCGCUUGAGAGAACUCGGGUGAAGGAACUAGGCAAAAUGGUGCCGUAACUUCGGGAGAAGGCACGCUGAUAUGUAGGUGAGGUCCCUCGCGGAUGGAGCUGAAAUCAGUCGAAGAUACCAGCUGGCUGCAACUGUUUAUUAAAAACACAGCACUGUGCAAACACGAAAGUGGACGUAUACGGUGUGACGCCUGCCCGGUGCCGGAAGGUUAAUUGAUGGGGUUAGCGCAAGCGAAGCUCUUGAUCGAAGCCCCGGUAAACGGCGGCCGUAACUAUAACGGUCCUAAGGUAGCGAAAUUCCUUGUCGGGUAAGUUCCGACCUGCACGAAUGGCGUAAUGAUGGCCAGGC
rnacentral:rRNA from 1 species